rnacentral:rRNA from 1 species
GACGAACGCUGGCGGCGUGCUUAACACAUGCAAGUCGAACGGAAAGGCCCUGCUUUUGUGGGGUGCUCGAGUGGCGAACGGGUGAGUAACACGUGAGUAACCUGCCCUUGACUUUGGGAUAACUUCAGGAAACUGGGGCUAAUACCGGAUAGGAGCUCCUGCUGCAUGGUGUGGGUUGGAAAGUUUCGGCGGUUGGGGAUGGACUCGCGGCUUAUCAGCUUGUUGGUGGGGUAGUGGCUUACCAAGGCUUUGACGGGUAGCCGGCCUGAGAGGGGGACCGGGCACAAUGGGACUGAGAUACGGCCCAGAAUCCUACGGGAGGCAGCAGCGGGGAAUAUUGCACAAUGGGCGGAAGCCUGAUGCAGCAACGCCGCGUGCGGGAUGACGGCCUUCGGGUUGUAAACCGCUUUCGCCUGUGACGAAGCGUGAGUGACGGUAAUGGGUAAAGAAGCACCGGCUAACUACGUG